GUAUAGUAUGACCACUGUUAUUUUGACGAUUUUCCUAUCGGAUCGUCGGUAAGCGUGACCACAUGUGACAACAGCGAUGCCAGUUGGAAAAUUAGUAGACGUGUCGUUGAACUCGACACAUUGGCCGAAUCGCUUUCAGCAUGCAGUUCUUGCCAAGUGCCCAUGAAUUUUCUUAACACAGUAGGAAGCAGGGAUUUCGGACAGGCAUAUGUUUUGGAAAUACAGUGUAGCAAUUGUGGUGCCAUCAAUAAUGUGGCUUCUGGACGGAAACAUGACAGAGUUUAUGACAUGAACACAAAGCUUGCAUUAGGUAAAUCAUAAACUGGGUGUUUCACCUGGGACUUUCACAUCGAAACUGGCCCUUCCCCGUGACCUUCAGCACAAAAAAAGAAAGGCUAUAGCUGUUGCUCGUGCAGCAAAACAGCGACACAUAAGACUAAAAACUGAAACGGCAUUCAAAGGACAGUGCAAGAAGUACGAGCGGGACCAACAUACAGUUCAAACAUAGAGGACCAAGAUGUUGAAGUUACAACUUUACCCCCACCUGUACCCAAGCCUGGUCCAGCAGGGCUAGACACUACUGGGAAGGAAUUUGUUUUCUUUGAUUUGGAAACAAGAGGGUUAGAGCGUACUUCUCACAUAAUUCAGAUAGCUGCAGUGCAUUCAACUGGUCAGUUUUCAACAUAUGUGAUGCCUGAGAAGAAGAUGUCCUUGAAAGCGUCAGAAAUAACUGGAGUGACAGUUGUUGGCGACUCUAUGCUUGUUAAGGGACAUAAAGUAACAGCUGUCCCCAUCAAAUCUGCAUUGACAAGUUUUAUAACAUUCUUACAGAAAUUUUCACCAGAAAUUUUAGUUGGGCAUAACAUAGAGUGUAUUUGAUUGUAAAGUGUUGCUCCAUGCUGUCCAUACUUUUGGAAAAAUGUAUGAGUUUCAGCAAAAUAUUUGUGGCUUUUUAGAUACUUAAAAAUGUUAAAGGAAAUAUUACCAAAUAUAAAAUCAUAUAAGUUAUAAGUCAAGGUGUUACAAGGAAAGUUGCAGGAAGUGGAUUGCAACUUAAACAUUUGAGUAUUGAAUCAAAAAGAAACGGACUGAGUGGUUUGAGGAGCCCCCUGUCAGAGGUUACAAACGGACAAAUCAGAGUAACAAAAUCAGAGAAAAUAAUAUGUGCAAUAGCGAGUUAUUUGUUGCCUGACAUCUAACCAAUUGUAAUUUGCAUCUUGUAUAUAGAUUAGCUAUGAAAUUGUUUUUCCUUCUCGAUGUUGUGAUUCUUAUGUCAGUUGUAUUUCUCAUGUUUCACCUAAGUUGUAAGAUAUUUUUGGCAGUGCAUUAAACCACAGAUGGUGUGUGAAACAUUAUUGCCCCGCUUAUUGUAUUCAAUGUUGUUUUUAGCUCCACUGGCCAAAGGCCAGCAGGGCUUAUGUCAUGAUCCUGUGUCCGUCGUGCGUGCGUUAACUUUUCCUUUAAACAUCUUCUUCUAUGUUAUAAAUAUUAAGUUAUAUAUAUAGUCUUAAAUAAUGACGACCGACUGUUGGUGACUCAAGUUAUAUUUCUUUUUUUUGUAUUUUGAUUAUUUAGAAUGCAAAAAAUAAAAUGCUAUAUAUCAUAUAUUUGACUGACUCUGUUACAUAUGUACUCAUGUUUGUCAUAUAUUCAGUGCAAAUGUGUAGUUCAUGCACAAUGUUGAUAUGUAAAUUUUACAUUGAUUAUAGCUUGAAAGCAAUGUAUUUGUAUUGUAUUAAGCUUAUGGUGUAAAAUGUAAUGUGUGUACAUGGCUCUUAGUCGAAUUUGAUAACAGCUCAGUUAUGUACACAAGCUAUGGUUUGCAUUAAUCAUACCGUUGAUAAAUGAAGUAUUGUAUUCUUCCAUAGUUUUAUAUUGUAAUUACAAGGUGAUCAUUAUACAACCAUUUACUUUUAUCUGUUACAGGUUUACACACAUUUGUUAUAAAUUAUGCAAUAACUAAUUAAUUAACCCCAUUGAUUCUUUGUCAAUCUAAUAUUUGAAACCUUACUUAUGAUAAAAGUGUGUCUCCUAUAUAAAAACGUAUGCAAUAGUCAACAUUAGUUUGAAUGCUAUCCCAAUUUCAAUUUAUCCGAAUACUAGUACAGUUUACCAUCAUUAAUAGCGUGUGUGUGAUCUCAUUUAAAAUAUUUUUGUGAUAAAGUAAUUUAAUAUCAUAAACCCAGAAUAAAAAAACGAUUAUGGGACCUUUUUAGCACUUAAACUGGAAAUAGAAGUAUUUCGAAACUGUUACCAUGGCAACCAAACACAAUUACAUAAUACAAAAACCGUACCAUCACGCGACACGUCCACCCAAAAUUUUCUGACACUUCAGACAUUUACCUAAAAAUUGAUAUAUAAAUUAGCUUUCACUCUUUUUUGCACACGGGAGGUGCCCACGGACUGUACUAAACAUGGGUAACAGGUGGGUGGGGUAAUUAAAGAUGUUUAUUUGAACAUCAACAUGUUUUUUUUUCAUGUGUUACAUCUGAAAUAUUUCCAUAAGUAUGUAUAUAAUAAAUAUAUCUACGUGUAUCAAAUUUCAGUUGAUAACUUUAUUUGUUAUGGAGCAGUUAUUAUAUAGAUUUGUUUUAAUUACUAUUACAAUGUGAGUAAUUAUAUUUUUGAAAUUAAGUCCAUAUUAAAAGGUCUGUAGCCAAAAAAAAUCCACGGUGACCUAUCAAUUUCUUUACUUCAUUUUUAUGCUAAGCUAGUUUACUUUAAUUAUUGAGAACUUCAAAUGAAUAUGAAAAUUACAUCAACAGAAAUUUGUAUCUGUAUUGUAUGUCAUCGAUUUUUGAACUGUGCAAUAAAAAGUUCAAAACAAACAAAAAACUAGUCAUACUUAUGUCUCAUUACUUUUUACCAUUUCCAAUAUUUUUGGUUUUAAAUGUGUUCAGUAUGAUAAUACAAAUGUUACAGUUGCUGAUCUAAUACAAUCUCAAUACUACUAGUCCAUUUUAAAUGUUUUACACACAAACGUUUUACCGUACCCCCAAUUUUA